GAUGAACGCUGGCGGCGUGCCUAAUACAUGCAAGUCGAGCGAACAGAUGAGGAGCUUGCCCCUCUGACUUUAGCGGCGGACGGGUGAGUAACACGUGGAUAACCUACCUAUAAGACUGGGAUAACUUCGGGAAACCGGAGCUAAUACCGGAUAAUUUAUUGAACCGCAUGGUUCAAUAGUGAAAGACGGUUUUGCUGUCACUUAUAGAUGGAUCCGCGCCGCAUUAGCUAGUUGGUUGGGUAACGGCUUACCAAGGCAACGAAGCGUAGCCGACCUGAGAGUGUGUUCGGCCAUUCUGGAGCAUAGACACGGUCCAGACGCUUACGAGAUGCAGCAGUAGGGUGUCGUCAGUGAUGGUCAAGAGGCUGAUGGAUCAACGGCGCGUUUGGUUUGAUGGUCUUCGUAUCGUAAUACGCUGUUAUUAGGGAAGAACAAAUGUGUAAGUAACUAUGCACGUCUUGACGAUGCCUAAUCAGAAAGCCACGACUAACGACGUG
rnacentral:rRNA from 1 species